GGGCAAAGUUGGCUCGCCUUCAAAUUGCUCUCUUUCUUCAUUACUUCGUUACUACAUACAGGUGGACCCAACUCAAGGAGGAUCGGAUGUCUUUCUUUCCUUCAGCUCGAUUAGUGAAUGACUUUCAAAUCCAAAUAACCAGACGGGAUGACGAGUUGAAAAAAA